rnacentral:rRNA from 1 species
CCUCCCGAUCCUACGGGAGGCAGCAGUGGGGAAUAUUGCACAAUGGGCGCAAGCCUGAUGCAGCCAUGCCGCGUGUAUGAAGAAGGCCUUCGGGUUGUAAAGUACUUUCAGCAGUGAGGAAGGUGGAUAUGUUAAUAGCAUAUUCAUUUGACGUUAGCUGCAGAAGAAGCACCGGCUAACUCCGUGCCAGCAGCCGCGGUAAUACGGAGGGUGCGAGCGUUAAUCGGAAUUACUGGGCGUAAAGCGCAUGCAGGUGGUUUGUUAAGUCAGAUGUGAAAGCCCGGGGCUCAACCUCGGAAUUGCAUUUGAAACUGGCAAACUAGAGUACUGUAGAGGGGGUAGAAUUUCAGGUGUAGCGGUGAAAUGCGUAGAGAUCUGAAGGAAUACCGGUGGCGAAGGCGGCCCCCUGGACAGAUACUGACACUCAGAUGCGAAAGCGUGGGGAGCAAACAGGAUUAGAUACCCUGGUAG